GUCAUCCUCAUGGGUUGAAACCUUCAAGAACAUGCCCUGGAUCACGCCGUUCAGCUCCAUCGCCACGGUCUCCAGGGAUUUGAUUUGAGACUGGAGAAUCUAAGCACAGAAGAACCGAAAGCACGUCAGCCAACCUCAAAGCCUUGAGGAAGUGUCCACUUCCUGCCUCCACCCUCAUCCUGUGCCAGGAGGGAACCACAGGAAGAUGGACAGAACACAGAGAGACCUGCCAUGUGCUACCCCUACCUCUCCGCUGGUGCUUCCCGUCUCUAUCCAUCUCCCUAGGGAGGACCAGGGACCAAACACCCCAAGCAGGAAUCACCCCUUCCAUAAAACAGGGCUGGAGAUCAAACCCAGGGCCUUGUACAUGUGAGAUGGGAGGCAAGUGCUCUGCACUGAGGUACAACCCCAGCCCAUUCAUGGGAUUGUUUUUAGACAGGUCUGGCUAUAUAUCCCAAUCUGGCCUUAGACUUGCAAUCCUUAAGCCUCAGCCUCCCAAUGUGGCAUUUUAAAAAAAUUAAUUUGCCAAUCUUGCUUUUGUGUGGUAAAACUCUCAUUAUUAAAGCAUAUAAUUCCAUGGCAUUUAGUAUAUAUAGAAAGUGUGAGACCAUCACCAUCCAUCUAGUUUCAAGACAUUUCAUUCCCCAAAAGGGAAAUCCUAUCUCCAUCAGCAGUCCACACUACCUGUUCCUGUUUCCCAAAAAUCACCGAUCUACUUUCUCCUCUAUGGAUUUGCCUUUUCUACUGGUAAUCUUUUUCGGUUUUGGUACCAGGGAUCGAACUCAGGCCCCUGUGCUUUCGAGGCAGGCUCUGGAACCACUGAGCUAAAUCCCCAGCUGGAUUUGCCUCUUCUAAACAUCUCAGACAAAUAAAAUCACAACGUGUGGCCUGUUAUGUCUGGCUUCUUCCACUUAAUAAUCGUGUAGGGAUCCUCCCUGUGUUGUUUUGCCUCUCCUGCCUGGCAUCAGACCUACCUUGGCCCAUCAGGGCUCUUCCUCCCUACCACAGACUCCAAGCUCCGUUCUUCAGGGCUCUAGGGCUCCCAAUCCACCAGAUCGGACACCUACAAUGCAUCCAACUCUGUGCCAAGCACUUCCCAUGCACUGUGUCAACAUAAGUUCUAGAUACAGUCCUAGUAGGAGCAAC